CGGCCUGAGGUCGGACGAGGCUACCCGCUGAAUUUAAGCAUAUUACUAAGCGGAGGAAAAGAAACUAACGAGGAUUCCCUCAGUAACGGCGAGUGAAGCGGGACGAGCCCAGCGCCGAAUCCGGCCGCUUAUGGAGCGGACGGAAUUGUGGCGUAUGGAAUUCGCUUCGAGCGCGGACCGGCUGCCCACGUCCUUCUGAUCGAGGCUUCAUCCCA
rfam:Ciona savignyi cont_48094, whole genome shotgun sequence.